UACGUAGGUGGCAAGCGUUGUCCGGAAUUAUUGGGCGUAAAGCGCGCGCAGGCGGUCCUUUAAGUCUGAUGUGAAAGCCCCCGGCUCAACUGGGAGGGUCACGCGAUACUGAUCGACUCGAAGGCAGGAGAGGGUAGUGGAAUUCCCGGUGUAGUGGUGAAAUGCGUAGAUAUCUGGAGGAACACCGGUGGCGAAGGCGGCAUCCUGGACCGGUAUUGACACUGAUGAGCGAAAGCCAGGGGAGCAAACGGG
rnacentral:rRNA from 1 species